GACGAACGCUGGCGGCGUGCUUAACACAUGCAAGUCGAACGGAAAGGCCCUGCUUUUGUGGGGUGCUCGAGUGGCGAACGGGUGAGUAACACGUGAGUAACCUGCCCUUGACUUUGGGAUAACUUCAGGAAACUGGGGCUAAUACCGGAUAGGAGCUCCUGCUGCAUGGUGGGGGUUGGAAAGUUUCGGCGGUUGGGGAUGGACUCGCGGCUUAUCAGCUUGUUGGUGGGGUAGUGGCUUACCAAGGCUUUGACGGGUAGCCGGCCUGAGAGGGUGACCGGGCACCGUGGGAACGGGGUUAGGCCCCGAACCCUACGGGAGGGAGCAGGGGGGAAUAUUGCACAAUGGGCGGAAGCCUGAUGCAGCAACGCCGCGUGCGGGAUGACGGCCUUCGGGUUGUAAACCGCUUUCGCCUGUGACGAAGCGUGAGUGACGGUAAUGGGUAAAGAAGCACCGGCUAACUACGUG
rnacentral:rRNA from 1 species